GAGUUUGAUCCUGGCUCAGAUUGAACGCUGGCGACAUGCCUUACACAUGCAAGUCGAACGGCAGCACGGGAGCUUGCUCCUGGUGGCGAGUGGCGAACGGGUGAGUAAUGCAUCGGAACGUAUCCUGGAGUGGGGGAUAACGUAGCGAAAGUUACGCUAAUACCGCAUAUUCUGUGAGCAGGAAAGCGGGGGACCUUCGGGCCUCGCGCUCUUGGAGCGGCCGAUGUCGGAUUAGCUAGUUGGUGAGGUAAAGGCUCACCAAGGCGACGAUCCGUAGCAGGUCUGAGAGGAUGAUCUGCCACACUGGAACUGAGACACGGUCCAGACUCCUACGGGAGGCAGCAGUGGGGAAUUUUGGACAAUGGGGGCAACCCUGAUCCAGCCAUGCCGCGUGAGUGAAGAAGGCC
rnacentral:rRNA from 1 species